rnacentral:rRNA from 2 species
AGGCGCAUNCCUAUACAUGCAAGUCGAACGAGUUCUCGUUGAUGAUCGUGUGCUGUGCACCGAGAUUCAACAUGGAACAAUUGGCGGACGGGUGAGUAACACGUGGGUAACCUGCCCUUAAGUGGGGGAUAACAUUUGAAAACAGAUGCUAAUACCGCAUAGAUCCAAGAACCGCGUGGUUCUUGGCUGAAGUAUGGCGUAAGUCUAUCUCUUUUGGAUGGACCCGCGGCGUAUUAGCUAGUUGGUGAGGUAAUGGCUCACCAAGGCGAUGAUACGUAGCCGAACUGAGAGGUUGAUCGGCCACAUUGGGACUGAGACACGGCCCAAACUCCUACGGGAGGCAGCAGUAGGGAAUCUUCCACUAUGGACGCAAGUCUGAUGGAGCAACGCCGCGUGAGUGAAGAAGGCUUUCGGGUCGUAAAACUCUGUUGUUGGAGAAGAAUGGUCGGCAGAGUAACUGUUGUGGGCGUGACGGUAUCCAACCAGAAAGCCACGGCUAACUACGUGCCAGCAGCCGCGGUAAUACGUAGGUGGCAAGCGUUAUCCGGAUUUAUUGGGCGUAAAGCGAGCGCAGGCGGUUUUUUAAGUCUGAUGUGAAAGCCCUCGGCUUAACCGAGAGAAGCGCCUCGAAAUCUGGGAAACUUGAGUGCAGAAGAGGACAGUGGAACUCCAUGUGUAGCGGUGAAAUGCGUAUAUAUAUGGAAGAACACCAGUGGCGAAGGCGGCUGUCUGGUCUGUAACUGACUCUGAUGCUCGAGAGCAUGCGUAGCGAACAGGAUUAGAUACCCUGGUAGUCCAUGCCGUACACUAUGAAUGCUAGGUGUUGAAGGGUCUCCGCCCUUCAGUGCCGCAGCUAACGCAUUAAGCAUUCCGCCUGGGGAGUACUACCGCAAGGUUGACACUCAAGGAAUUGACGGGGGCCCGCACAAGCUGUGGAGCAUGUGGUUUUUUUCAANGCAACGCAAACACCUUACCGGGUCNUGACUUCUUUUGAUUCCUGACAUANAGGAUUACCCUUCGGGNUCACAUCCACAGGAGUNGGGGGUGUCUCAGCUCGUGCGGGAGAUGUGGGUUAAGUCCGCAACGAGCCAACCCUUUGUAGANUUGCCNNUAUUAGUAGGAAUUCUAGAAAAUUCCGGUAAAAACCGNNNNAAGGGGGGAUGACCCAAAACAUGCGCCCUUUGACCUGGCGUAACCCCGUCUAAUUGGAUGUUACCCAUGUUNAAACCCGG